rnacentral:rRNA from 1 species
AGCAGCCGCGGUAAUUCCAGCUCCAAUAGCGUAUAUUAAAGUUGUUGCAGUUAAAAGCUCGUAGUUGAAUUUCGGGAUUAGUACGUUGGUCGUGCCUUCGGUACGUACUGGUGUUACUGAUUCCUACCUUCUGACGAACCGUCAUGUCAUUAAUUUGAUGUGGCGGGGAUCAGGACUGUUACUUUGAAAAAUUGAGUGUUUAAAGCAGGCUCGCGCUUGAAUACAUUAGCAUGGAAUAAUGAAAUAGGACGUUCGAUCCUAUUUUGUUGGUUUCUAGGAUUGACGUAAUGAUUAAUAGGGAUAGUUGGGGGCAUUAGUAUUCAAUUGUCAGAGGUGAAAUUCUUGGAUUUAUUGAAGACUAACUACUGCGAAAGCAUUUGCCAAGGAUGUUUUCAUUAAUCAAAGAACGAAA